GACGAACGCUGGCGGCGUGCCUAACACAUGCAAGUCGAACGCAGUGACGAACGGGUGAGUAACGCGGAAACACCCUGCCCUUCAGAGGGGGACAACAGUUGGAAACGACUGCUAAUACCGCAUACUGAAGGAGGGGAUUGCGUUGGAUUAGCUAGUUGGAGGGGUAACGGCCCACCAAGGAGAUGAUGAGUAGCCGGUCGGGGAGUAUGAAAGACCACAUUGGGACUGAGACACGGCCCAGACUCCUACGGGAGGCAGCAGUGGGGAAUAUUGGUCAAUGGGCGUUAGCCUGAACCAGCCAAGUAGCGGGAAGGAUGAAGGUAUAUGGGUCGUAAACUUCUUUUAUAUAAGAAUAUGUAUUAUAUGAAUAAGGAUCGGCUAACUCCGUGCCAGCAGCCGCGGUAAUAC
rnacentral:rRNA from 1 species